UUGACCUCGGAUCAGGUAGGGAUACCCGCUGAACUUAAGCAUAUCAAUAAGCGGAGGAAAAGAAACCAACAGGGAUUGCUCUAGUAACGGCGAGUGAAGCAGCAAUAGCUCAAAUUUGAAAUCUGGCGUCUUCGACGUCCGAGUUGUAAUUUGUAGAGGAUGCUUCUGAGUGGCCACCGACCUAAGUUCCUUGGAACAGGACGUCAUAGAGGGUGAGAAUCCCGUAUGCGGUCGGAAAGGCGCUCUAUACGUAGCUCCUUCGACGAGUCGAGUUGUUUGGGAAUGCAGCUCUAAAUGGGAGGUAAAUUUCUUCUAAAGCUAAAUAUUGGCCAGAGACCGAUAGCGCACAAGUAGAGUGAUCGAAAGAUGAAAAGCACUUUGGAAAGAGAGUUAAAAAGCACGUGAAAUUGUUAAAAGGGAAGGGAUUGCAACCAGACUUGCUCGCGGUGUUCCGCCGGUCUUCUGACCGGUCUACUCGCCGCGUUGCAGGCCAGCAUCGUCUGGUGCCGCUGGAUAAGACUUGAGGAAUGUAGCUCCCUCGGGAGUGUUAUAGCCUCUUGUGAUGCAGCGAGCGCCGGGCGAGGUCCGCGCUUCGGCUAGGAUGCUGGCGUAAUGGUCGUAAUCCGCCCGUCUUGAAACACGGACCAAGGAGUCUAACAUCUAUGCGAGUGUUCGGGUGUCAAACCCCUACGCGUAAUGAAAGUGAACGGAGGUGAGAACCCGCAAGGUGCAUCAUCGACCGAUCCUGAUGUCUUCGGAUGGAUUUGAGUAAGAGCAUAGCUGUUGGGACCCGAAAGAUGGUGAACUAUGCCUGAAUAGGGUGAAGCCAGAGGAAACUCUGGUGGAGGCUCGCAGCGGUUCUGACGUGCAAAUCGAUCGUCAAAUUUGGGUAUAGGGGCGAAAGACUAAUCGAACCAUCUAGUAGCUGGUUCCUGCCG
rnacentral:rRNA from 1 species